ensembl:ncRNA Y73B6BL.273 ncRNA
UCUGCGUCUCUGCAAAUCUCUAUACUCUCUAGAUGAUCUUCCUCAAAAACUGACCAGAAAUGGAACGGGUUCUCUUUUUAUUCGAUCGUCUAGAUCACUCAGUCGACGUGUGAAUCACGCAAUUUUU